UUCCCAAGUAUUUUGUCAAAAAUCAUCCGUUCUCAUCCCCAGAGAAAUAACAACACAAAUCAAUUACAUAAAAGAAAUAAAUCACCCUCUCCUUCAUGAUUUUGUGUUUGCAAUAAAAACACAUUCACACAACUCUUCAUAAACCACCUAUAACCUUUAAACGUUCAAAAUCAUUAUGCACAAAUCAUUCAUAAAACCAAAAAAAAAAAAAUCAUACAAAAUUCCUCCAUUAUCACCUUCA
rnacentral:lncRNA from 1 species